rnacentral:lncRNA from 10 species
AGUGAGAGCUGAGAAUAACCAGCUUUUAUCUUCUUCCUUCCCGGCCACCGAAAGAAGCCAGUGCCUGGGAUUCUGAGAUGCAGCCACAUCAUAAAGUUUCAUUACUCAAUUGCAGUAGAGAAAACCUCAAAGGAACCACUUCUAAUGGAAACUGCCUCAAUUCCUGGUCAAGUCUCACAGUCUAACCUGGAGGUGCUCUGAGAUGUGACUAAGUUAAGGAUUUUGAGAUGAAGAGACCAUCCUGAAUUAUCUGAGUGGGUCCUGAAUGUCAUCACAAGAAGCCUUAGAAGAGAGAAGCAUGAAAACCAGAAGAGGAGGAAGAGGCAACCGGGCCAUGAAGACAAGAGAUUAGAGUGAUGUGGCCACAAGUCAAGAAGUGCCGGCCUCCAGCAAAAAACUGGAAGUCAGGAGCAGGAUCUCUCCUAGAGCCUGUGGAGGGAAUGUAACCCUGCCAAUAACUUGAUUUUGGCCCAGAGAAACUGACUUCAGACUUCUGGCCUUCAGGAUGGCGAGAGAAUUAAAUCGCUGUUGUUUUUAGCCCAGUAUGUGGUAAUUUUGUUACAACAGCCACAGAAAACUAGUACAGUGGAUUUUUAGCAGUAGAAUUAAAUUAGCAGUGGAUUAAAGAGCAGUAGAAUUGUGAUUUUAUCAACACUUACUGGAUGGCAGAUUUCCUCUGCAGCAGAAGAGAAUAAAAUGUUGCCUAGGUGAUGCUGACCACCAAAACUUCUGCCAUGGACUCAGCAGUGUGAACAGACCCUGGGAAUCUAUGUACACAUAAAACACCAUGAACAUUUUGCAUUUUCUGAUUUGAACUGAAUAGGCG